UAGUCCACGCCCUAAACGAUGGAUACUAGUCGUCGGGUUUCCUAAUAGACUCGGUGGCGAAGCUAACGCGUUAAGUAUCCCGCCUGGGGAGUACGGUCGCAAGAUUAAAACUCAAAGGAAUUGACGGGGGCCCGCACAAGCGGUGGAGCAUGUGGUUUAAUUCGAUGCUACGCGAAAACCUUACCUGGGUUUGACAUCCUGUGCUACCCUGUGAAAGCAGGGGUUCCUUCGGGACGCAGUGACAGGUGCUGCAUGGCUGUCGUCAGCUCGUGUUGUGAGAUGUUGGGUUAAGUCCCGCAACGAGCGCAACCCUCGUCGUUAGUUACCCAGCAUUAAGUUGGGCACUCUAACGAGACCGCUAGGCUAUAAGCCAGAGGAAGGUGGGGAUGACGUCAAGUCCUCAUGGCCUUUAUAUCCAGGGGCUACACACGUGCUACAAUGGGGUACCACAAAGCGUUGCUAGCUCGCGAGAGUUUGCUAAUCGCAAAAAAUUCCCU
rnacentral:rRNA from 1 species